rnacentral:rRNA from 1 species
AUUGAACGCUGGCGGCAGGCUUAACACAUGCAAGUCGAGCGGAGAUGAGGUGCUUGCACCUUAUCUUAGCGGCGGACGGGUGAGUAAUGCUUAGGAAUCUGCCUAUUAGUGGGGGACAACAUUCCGAAAGGAAUGCUAAUACCGCAUACGCCCUACGGGGGAAAGCAGGGGAUCUUCGGACCUUGCGCUAAUGGAUGAGCCUAAGUCGGAUUAGCUAGUUGGUGGGGUAAAGGCCUACCAAGGCGACGAUCUGUAGCGGGUCUGAGAGGAUGAUCCGCCACACUGGGACUGAGAAACGGCCCAGACUCCUACGGGAGGAAGCAGUGGGGAAUAUUGGACAAUGGGCGGAAGCCUGAUCCAGCCAUGCCGCGUGUGUGAAGAAGGCCUUUUGGUUGUAAAGCACUUUAAGCGAGGAGGAGGCUACCUGGAUUAAUACUCUAGGAUAGUGGACGUUACUCGCAGAAUAAGCACCGGCUAACUCUGUGCCAGCCGCCCGCGGUAAUAC